CUUGUUGGUGAGGUAACGGCUCACCAAGGCGACGAUCAGUAGCCGACCUGAGAGGGUGAUCGGCCACAUUGGAACUGAGACACGGUCCAAACUCCUACGGGAGGCAGCAGUGGGGAAUAUUGCACAAUGGGCGCAAGCCUGAUGCAGCAACGCCGCGUGAGCGAUGAAGGCCUUCGGGUCAUAAAGCUCUGUCCUAAGGGAAGAUAAUGACGGUACCUUAGGAGGAAGCCCCGGCUAACUACGUGCCAGCAGCCGCGGUAAUACGUAGGUCCCGAGCGUUGUCCGGAUUUAUUGGGCGUAAAGCGAGCGCAGGCGGUUUGAUAAGUCUGAAGUUAAAGGCUGUGGCUCAACCAUAGUUCGCUUUGGAAACUGUCAAACUUGAGUGCAGAAGGGGAGAGUGGAAUUCCAUGUGUAGCGGUGAAAUGCGUAGAUAUAUGGAGGAACACCGGUGGCGAAAGCGGCUCUCUGGUCUGUAACUGACGCUGAGGCUCGAAAGCGUGGGGAGCGAAC
rnacentral:rRNA from 1 species